UCCUUGUUCAUGCUCACCCAUAAGGCAAGA
rnacentral:piRNA from 1 species